UCCGUAUAACAAUACUCCGAGAACUGAAAGGCUUUUUGAAGUCUUCGGAUGGAUAGAAGAACCCCUGAUGCCGUCGAGCCAAGAAAAGUUUCUAAGUUUAGCUAAUGUUGCCCGUACCGUAAACCGACACAGGUGGGUGGGAUGAGUAUUCUAAGGCGCGUGGAAGAACUCUCUUUAAGGAACUCUGCAAAAUAGCACCGUAUCUUC
rnacentral:rRNA from 1 species